GCCUGGUUAGCUCAGUUGGUAGAGCAUGAGACUCUUAAUAUCAGGGUUGUGGGUUCAAGCCCCACGUUGGGCG